rnacentral:lncRNA from 1 species
AAUUAACUGAUACGUGUGCAGCAGGUGAACGUGGAAGUGGAAUCGGAUGACAGCUCGGAGGAGCGAGAGUUUCCCAAGACCAAGAGGCUCUCAGAUAUCCUCGAAACUACGUCUUGGAGGAACAACGCUAGUACCUCAGCCGCACCUCGAAACUGCUCCGAAGUUUUCAGGCCCCCGAGCAGGUUUGAGGAAGAAAAGCAGCAGCAGCGGCAUUGCAGGAAGAGAGGCCAGCAGGAAACAUCCGAAUCCGAUGCCACCACCAAAAGGCUCAAGGUCAACGGCCGCAUCGCGCUCAACGGAUGCCCUGCCCUUAACUCCAACCAAGCGCAACCAAAAACUCCACUAUCAUAGCUCUCAACUCAUCGGCUAUCAAAACAGACGGUUAUGUAUGUGUGUAUGUAGGUGGGCCUGGGCAGUCAGUGUAUUGGCUCGGAACUGAAAACAGGUACAAAGUCGAAUAGUCAGUCAGACUGUGAUAUAAAUUUAUGUAUCGAUCCUUUUUAUGUAACAAGCGACUACAUAGUUGGUUAGAGCGUCUACAACUGGAAUGGGCAAAUCCAAUCCCCUAUAGGCUGCCACACCCUUAAAUAUGGCGAUUUAUAACUACAAUCCUUAC